UACCAAUUAGUUUUCGUCUCUCGUAUAAGCUCCGUAAUAUGGAUGGAGCGUUUCGACCAGGCAACCUUAAAAUUGUCCUAGGCUAUGAGAGGUGAUGAGUUUUUU
rnacentral:ncRNA from 2 species